rnacentral:lncRNA from 1 species
GAAAGAUAAUAAUUGCCACCACUAUCAAUUGCCAAAUACCGUCCACCAUCGAUUUGCAAACAAUAAUCAUCUUCAAUGCUGCUGCUGUUGUCUCCAACUCGGGGAGGGGAAGAUAUAAUCGAUCUGUUGUCUGCAUAAUGCAUAGCGAUAGAGAGGGCCAGAGGAAUGCCAAGCGGACCACAAUGUUUUUUUGUCUGCAAUUAUUACAAGGAGUAUAUUAUUUUCAAAACAUAUGAUCAAUCGAAGAGAAAUACUCACCGUAGAUUGGUCGUAAGCCGUAGGCACAUAUUCCUUUUGAGGCAUUUUAGGAUAUUUGGCAACAGCCGGGGGAAGAAACACUGGUCGUGCAAGAUCUCUCUUCCAGUCAAGAUCAAAUAGUUCAUUGAAUAAGAUUUCUACACAAACACACCAAUUAGUAGUUAGAUAUUGUUCAUGAUCAAACACAUGAUCUAUUCCUAAUUAAAAAAUAAUUCAUUAAUUUAAAGAGUAUUUUUCAAAGAAUUAUUUGUUGAAACUACCCCCAACUCUCGAAACAAAGGAAGCAAUCAUUGCAGACUAUUACUAAUUAACAAUAGAAAUUUAGCUUACCGUCCCCGGCAGUCCAGAUAUGGGUAAAUCACCCGCUAAGACUCCAAAUGUGACGAGCUCAAAAUAAUCACCGCCACGAUCUACUUGAAAAACAGGAACACCUGACCUUUUGUUUGGAAUUUUUGGCCUUUAAUUGAUGUGGGUGGUCGGAAAGAUAAUAAUUUCCACCACCACUAUCAAUUGCCAAAUACCGACCACCAUCGAUUUGCAAACAACAAUCAUCUUCAAUGCUGCUGCUCUUGUCUCCAACUCGGGGAGGGGAAGAUAUAAUCGAUCUGUUGCCUGCAUAAUCCAUGGCGAAGAGAGGGACAGAGAAUGCCAGAGCGAGGCGGAAGCGGCGGCCGCGCUUUGCAAAGGAGAAGCGGU